rnacentral:rRNA from 1 species
CAGUCGCCGCGGGAAUACGUAGGGUGCGAGCGUUAAUCGGAAUUACUGGGCGUAAAGCGUGCGCAGGCGGCUUUGCAAGACAGAUGUGAAAUCCCCGGGCUCAACCUGGAAACUGCAUUUGUGACUGCCAGGCUAGAGUGCGGCAGAGGGAGAUGGAAUUCCGCGUGUAGCAGUGAAAUGCGUAGAUAUACGAAGGAACACCGAUGGCGAAGGCAGUCUCCUGGGCCUGCACUGACGCUCAUGCACGAAAGCGUGGGGAGCAAACAGGAUUAGAGACCCCAGUAGUCCCUGUCUCUUAUAC